ACGGGUGAGUAAUGCGUAGGAAUCUACCUAGUAGUAUGGAAUAGCCAUUAGAAAUGAUGGGUAAUACUGUAUAAUCCCUGCGGGGGAAAGAUUUAUCGCUAUUAGAUGAGCCUACGUCAGAUUAGCUAGUUGGUAAGGUAAUGGCUUACCAAGGCUAUGAUCUAUGGCUGGUCUGAGAGGACGAUCAGCCACACUGGAACUGAGAUACGGUCCAGACUCCUACGGGAGGCAGCAGUGGGGAAUAUUGGACAAUGGGCGAAAGCCUGAUCCAGCUAUGCCGCGUGAGUGAAGAAGGCCUUCGGGUUGUAAAACUCUUUCAAUAGGGAAGAUAAUGACGGUACC
rnacentral:rRNA from 1 species